ACAAGUACCGUGAGGGAAAGUUGCAAAGCACUUUGAAGAGAGAGUUAAAGAGGACGUGAAACCGGUAAGGUGGAAACGGAUAGAGUCGGCGUAUCAUUCAAUUAUUCAGUUACAUUAUUUUUAUGUUGUGACCUCUGAGCUCCAGAUUGGGACAGAGGGAAUCAGCAUAAUUUUUUGUGGUGCAUUUACUUGAUUGGUGCUUGGGGAUGUUUGAGGCAGAUUUGUUUCCGUCGUUUUGAGGCCAGCUUGCUGGUACCCAAACGGUGUUAGCAUUUUUUGUCUUGGGCAUUUGAGUAUGGCUCACGUGUAUUUAUUGGACAGAUCUGAGUGUAAGUUACGGUCGCAUGCGACACGUGCUUUCCAAUUAGUUCGGUCCAGUUAAUGCUCUCGUACUCGUUCCCCAUGUAAAAGCCGGUCAUCUAUCCGACCCGUCUUGAAACACGGACCAAGGAGUUUAUCGUGUGCGCAAGUUUUUGGGUGUUAAAAACUUAAAAGCGAAAUGAAAGUAAAUGACUCUUUAGAGUCUGAUGUGCGAUCUUGUAAAAAAGUGUAGCAUGGCCCCAUUCUAACUGUUUACAGUAGGGUGGCGGAAGAGCGUACGCGGUGAGACCCGAAAGAUGGUGAACUAUUCCUGAGCAGGACGAAGCCAGAGGAAACUCUGGUGGAAGUCCGAAGCGGUUCUGACGUGCAAAUCGAUCGUCUGACUUGGGUAUAGGGGCGAAAGACUAAUCGAACCAUCUAGUAGCUGGUUCCUUCCGA
rnacentral:rRNA from 1 species